UACGAAGGGGGCUAGCGUUGUUCGGAAUUACUGGGCGUAAAGCGUGCGCAGGCGGCCUCUCAAGUCAGGGGUGAAAGCCCAGAGCUCAACUCUGGAAUUGCCUUUGAGACUGUGAGGCUUGAGUACGGGAGAGGUGAGUGAAUUCCCAGUGUAGAGGUGAAUUCGUAGAUAUUGGAAGAACACCGUGGCGAAGGCGGCUCACUGGCUCGUUACUGACGCUCAGGCGCGACAGCGUGGGAUCAAACAGG
rnacentral:rRNA from 1 species